AUAGAUGUUUUACAUUCAUAUUUUAAGGAAUAAUGUUUUACAUCCAUUUCAAGAAAAUUAACCAUAUCAUAUUAUAGAAAUAAUAUUCGAUGAGGACUCACGUGAUCUAUUUUUUGGCUCUUAGGUGAAUGAAUGGAUGCCACUUCCUUGCAAUAAAUGUCAUGAGUGUACCCUUUGGGAGAUGCUACGAGGAUGAGUGGCACAAACUCUCUUCACAGUAAGUGUCAUGAGUGUACUGAAUCUUGCAAGAGCUCCUCCAUGGCGAAUAACUCCGUUGAGAUUUGAGGUAAACUCAAAUCAGAGACAAUAAAGUGGGAAGUCAAGCUCGGCCUUCACUACUCUGAUCACCAAAACCAUGUAUGCAUAAGACUAAUCAGAAGGCGUAAAGACAACGUCAA
rnacentral:lncRNA from 1 species